rnacentral:rRNA from 1 species
UGAGGAAUAUUGGGUCAAUGGGCGCAGGCCUGAACCAGCCAAGUCGCGUGAGGGAAGACGGUCCUACGGAUUGUAAACCUCUUUUGUCGGGGAGUAACGUGCGGGACGCGUCCCGUAUUGAGAGUACCCGAAGAAAAAGCAUCGGCUAACUCCGUGCCAGCAGCCGCGGUAAUACGGAGGAUGCGAGCGUUAUCCGGAUUUAUUGGGUUUAAAGGGUGCGCAGGCGGCGCGCCAAGUCAGCGGUCAAAGUUCCGGGCUCAACCCGGUGUCGCCGUUGAAACUGGCGUGCUCGAGUGCGUGCGAGGAAGGCGGAAUGCGUUGUGUAGCGGUGAAAUGCAUAGAUAUCGCGCAGAACUCCGAUUGCGAAGGCAGCGUACUAUUCUCCAACUGACGCUGAGGCACGAAAGCGUG